rnacentral:rRNA from 1 species
ACGGACUUCGGUCUGGUGGCGAGUGGCGAACGGGUGAGUAAUGUAUCGGAACGUGCCUAGUAGCGGGGGAUAACUACGCGAAAGCGUAGCUAAUACCGCAUACGCCCUUCGGGGGAAAGCGGGGGACCUUCGGGCCUCGCACUAUUAGAGCGGCCGAUAUCGGAUUAGCUAGUUGGUGGGGUAAUGGCUCACCAAGGCGACGAUCCGUAGCUGGUUUGAGAGGACGACCAGCCACACUGGGACUGAGACACGGCCCAGACUCCUACGGGAGGCAGCAGUGGGGAAUUUUGGACAAUGGGGGCAACCCUGAUCCAGCCAUCCCGCGUGUGCGAUGAAGGCCUUCGGGUUGUAAAGCACUUUUGGCAGGAAA